GACGAACGCUGGCGGCGUGCUUAACACAUGCAAGUCGAACGGACCCUUUGGGGUUAGUGGCGAACGGGUGAGUAACACGUGGGUGAUCUGCCCUGCACUUUGGGAUAAGCCUGGGAAACUGGGUCUAAUACCGGAUAGGACUACGCCCUGCAUGGUGUGUGGGGGAAAGCCUUUGCGGUGUGGGAUGGGCCCGCGGCCUAUGAGCUUGUUGGUGGGGUGAUGGCCUACCAAGGCGACGACGGGUAGCCGGCCUGAGAGGGUGACCGGCCACACUGGGACUGAGAUACGGCCCAGACUCCUACGGGAGGCAACAGGGGGGAAUAUUGCACAAUGGGCGCAAGCCCGAUGCAGCGACGCCGCGUUAGGGAUGACGGCCUUCGGGUUGUAAACCUCUUUCGCCAGGGACGAAGCGCAAGUGACGGUACCUGGAGAAGAAGGACCGGCCAACUACGUGCCAGCAGCCGCGGUAACAC
rnacentral:rRNA from 1 species